UGGGGAAUAUUGCACAAUGGGCGCAAGCCUGAUGCAGCCAUGCCGCGUGUAUGAAGAAGGCCUUCGGGUUGUAAAGUACUUUCAGCGGGGAGGAAGGGAGUAAAGUUAAUACCUUUGCUCAUUGACGUUACCCGCAGAAGAAGCACCGGCUAACUCCGUGCCAGCAGCCGCGGUAAUACGGAGGGUGCAAGCGUUAAUCGGAAUUACUGGGCGUAAAGCGCACGCAGGCGGUUUGUUAAGUCAGAUGUGAAAUCCCCGGGCUCAACCUGGGAACUGCAUCUGAUACUGGCAAGCUUGAGUCUUGUAGAGGGGGGUAGAAUUCCAGGUGUAGCGGUGAAAUGCGUAGAGAUCUGGAGGAAUACCGGUGGCGAAGGCGGCCCCCUGGACAAAGACUGACGCUCAGGUGCGAAAGCGUGGGGAGCAAACAGG
rnacentral:rRNA from 1 species